ensembl:lncRNA
CUGAGAGGGGGAAAUAGAAGACAUGGCGGGUGCUCAUGGCUUAACCCUUCCCUGUCAUUCAUCCACUUUUGCUUGCUUCCCCGUCUCAGCCUGUGCUUCCGGACCCAGCUCCCCGUGUGGAUUGUUUUGGGGGCAAAACCUCAGAGGCCAGGUCCCCAGACAGAGCCUUCCUUGCAGCUCAGUCUUCCAACCAAGGCUAACAGUCAAGAGUCAUCCAGACGUGACCGGCAGUGCGGUGGGUGCGGGGAGACACUCAUCCCGCUCCGUGUACAGAGUGAUCUCUGCGGGCCCUUCUCUUCCCGUUUCCUUGGCCUCCUGGGAAGACGCCAAAUUUCCAUCAAGGGGGCUGGCUUUGCACUGAGUCUUCCGUGAGGAACUGUUGAAAGCAGUCACCUCCCAAAUGUCAGAAGAUUCACCCCUCUUUGGGGAAACCCUGAUGCGAUGAAUACGGUGUUGAGUGCCAACCCCAAAUCUGAAGGAAAAGGUGGUCCUGACCCACGGGCACAGAGCUUUACAGAGCUUUUGAUCCUCCCCACCAUGCUGAGAGUCAGGUCUUAGUUGUAGCACGUGGGAUCUACUUCCCUGACCAGAGACUGAACUCAAACUUCCUGCACUGGGAGGAAGGAGGCUUAGCCACUCGACCAGGGAAGUACCUGUUCCAAGAUUCUGAAGCAGCCGAAAGCGAAAGUGAAGGUCGCUCAGUCGUGUCCGACUCUUUUCCGCCCGGUGGACUAUACAGCCCAUGGGAUUCUCCAGGCCAGAAUACUGGGAAGAAUAAUCAUGAAAGACAGCACAUUAAAAAGCAGAGAAAUCACCUUGCUGACAAAGGUCCGUCUUUCAAGCCGUGGUUUUUCCAGUACUUGUGUACAGUUGUGAGAGCUGGGCCAUAAACAAGGCUGAGUGCAAAGAACUGACGCUUUCCGACUGUGGUCCUGCAGGAGACUCUUGAGAGACCCUCGCACAGCAAGACCAAACCAGUCAAUCCCAAAGGAAAUGGAGGGUGAGAUGUAUACAGAGAGUAUCAUGGAAAUUUGCAAUGCCAUAUGUAAAAUAGAUGGCCAAUGGGAAUUUGCUGUAAGACUCAGGGAACUCAAACAUGGGCUCUGUGACAAUCUAGAAGGUUGGGAUGGUGAGUGAGAUGGGAAGGAGGUUCGGGAGGGAGGGGACGUGGGUGUAAAUACGGCUGAUUCUUGUUGAUGAUUCACAGAAAGCCACAAAAUUCUGUAAAGCAUUUAUCCUUCAAUUAAAAAAUAAAUAAAGUGGGAAAAAAAAACUAAAGAAAAUCAACCCUGAAUAUUCAUUGGAAGGACUGAUGCUGAAACUGAAGCUCCAAUAUUUUGGCCACCUGAUGCUAAGAGCUGACUCAUUAGAAAAGACCCUGAUGCUGGAAAAGAUUGAGGGCAGGAGGAGAAGGGGACGACAGAGGACGAGAUGGCUGGAUGGCAUCAUCGACUCAGUGGGCAUGAAUUUGAGCAAACUCCGGGAGAGAGUGGAGGACAGAGGAGCCUGGUGUGCUGCAGUCCGUGGGGCCGCGAACAGUCGGACGUGACUUAGUGACCAAGCGACAGAAACGGCAACAGGGAGAGGGAUCUUCAACCACUUCUGUAUUUGCGCUAUUUUGCAUUUACUAAACACUAAAAAUCUCGUGUUUCACUGAGCAGGCACUCCUAAAUUAACUUCUUGGCAUGUUAUGACAGUUACUUGGGC